AGGUAGCUCAGUAGGUAGAGCGCCGAUCUGACAAUCUUGAGGUUGCGGGUUCAAACCCUGG
rnacentral:tRNA from 1 species